AUUGAACGCUGGCGGCAUGCCUUACACAUGCAAGUCGAACGGUAACAGGUCUUCGGAUGCUGACGAGUGGCGAACGGGUGAGUAAUACAUCGGAACGUGCCUAGUAGUGGGGGAUAACUACUCGAAAGAGUGGCUAAUACCGCAUGAGAUCUACGGAUGAAAGCAGGGGAUCGCAAGACCUUGUGCUACUAGAGCGGCAGAUGGCAGAUUAGGUAGUUGGUGGGAUAAAAGCUUACCAAGCCGACGAUCUGUAGCUGGUCUGAGAGGACGAUCAGCCACACUGGGACUGAGACACGGCCCAGACUCCUACGGGAGGCAGCAGUGGGGAAUUUUGGACAAUGGGCGCAAGCCUGAUCCAGCAAUGCCGCGUGCAGGAUGAAGGCCUUCGGGUUGUAAACUGCUUUUGUACGGAACGAAAAGCCCUGGGUUAAUACCCUGGGGUCAUGACGGUACCGUAAGAAUAAGCACCGGCUAACUACGUGCCAGCCGCCGCGGUAA
rnacentral:rRNA from 1 species